rnacentral:rRNA from 1 species
GGGUUGUGAGGUUAAGCGACUAAGCGUACACGGUGGAUGCCCUGGCAGUCAGAGGCGAUGAAGGACGUGCUAAUCUGCGAUAAGCGUCGGUGAGGUGAUAUGAACCGUUAUAACCGGCGAUUUCCGAAUGGGGAAACCCAGUGUGUUUCGACACACUAUCAUUAACUGAAUCCAUAGGUUAAUGAGGCGAACCGGGGGAACUGAAACAUCUAAGUACCCCGAGGAAAAGAAAUCAACCGAGAUUCCCCCAGUAGCGGCGAGCGAACGGGGAGGAGCCCAGAGCCUGAAUCAGUGUGUGUGUUAGUGGAAGCGUCUGGAAAGGCGCGCGAUACAGGGUGACAGCCCCGUACACAAAAAUGCACAUAUUGUGAGCUCGAUGAGUAGGGCGGGACACGUGGUAUCCUGUCUGAAUAUGGGGGGACCAUCCUCCAAGGCUAAAUACUCCUGACUGACCGAUAGUGAACCAGUACCGUGAGGGAAAGGCGAAAAGAACCCCGGCGAGGGGAGUGAAAAAGAACCUGAAACCGUGUACGUACAAGCAGUGGGAGCCUCUUAAUGGGGUGACUGCGUACCUUUUGUAUAAUGGGUCAGCGACUUAUAUUCUGUAGCAAGGUUAACCGAAUAGGGGAGCCGAAGGGAAACCGAGUCUUAACUGGGCGUUAAGUUGCAGGGUAUAGACCCGAAACCCGGUGAUCUAGCCAUGGGCAGGUUGAAGGUUGGGUAACACUAACUGGAGGACCGAACCGACUAAUGUUGAAAAAUUAGCGGAUGACUUGUGGCUGGGGGUGAAAGGCCAAUCAAACCGGGAGAUAGCUGGUUCUCCCCGAAAGCUAUUUAGGUAGCGCCUCGUGAAUUCAUCUCCGGGGGUAGAGCACUGUUUCGGCAAGGGGGUCAUCCCGACUUACCAACCCGAUGCAAACUGCGAAUACCGGAGAAUGUUAUCACGGGAGACACACGGCGGGUGCUAACGUCCGUCGUGAAGAGGGAAACAACCCAGACCGCCAGCUAAGGUCCCAAAGUCAUGGUUAAGUGGGAAACGAUGUGGGAAGGCCCAGACAGCCAGGAUGUUGGCUUAGAAGCAGCCAUCAUUUAAAGAAAGCGUAAUAGCUCACUGGUCGAGUCGGCCUGCGCGGAAGAUGUAACGGGGCUAAACCAUGCACCGAAGCUGCGGCAGCGACACUAUGUGUUGUUGGGUAGGGGAGCGUUCUGUAAGCCUGUGAAGGUGGCCUGUGAGGGUUGCUGGAGGUAUCAGAAGUGCGAAUGCUGACAUAAGUAACGAUAAAGCGGGUGAAAAGCCCGCUCGCCGGAAGACCAAGGGUUCCUGUCCAACGUUAAUCGGGGCAGGGUGAGUCGACCCCUAAGGCGAGGCCGAAAGGCGUAGUCGAUGGGAAACAGGUUAAUAUUCCUGUACUUGGUGUUACUGCGAAGGGGGGACGGAGAAGGCUAUGUUGGCCGGGCGACGGUUGUCCCGGUUUAAGCGUGUAGGCUGGUUUUCCAGGCAAAUCCGGAAAAUCAAGGCUGAGGCGUGAUGACGAGGCACUACGGUGCUGAAGCGACAAAUGCCCUGCUUCCAGGAAAAGCCUCUAAGCAUCAGGUAACAUCAAAUCGUACCCCAAACCGACACAGGUGGUCAGGUAGAGAAUACCAAGGCGCUUGAGAGAACUCGGGUGAAGGAACUAGGCAAAAUGGUGCCGUAACUUCGGGAGAAGGCACGCUGAUAUGUAGGUGAAGCGACUUGCUCGUGGAGCUGAAAUCAGUCGAAGAUACCAGCUGGCUGCAACUGUUUAUUAAAAACACAGCACUGUGCAAACACGAAAGUGGACGUAUACGGUGUGACGCCUGCCCGGUGCCGGAAGGUUAAUUGAUGGGGUUAGCGGUAACGCGAAGCUCUUGAUCGAAGCCCCGGUAAACGGCGGCCGUAACUAUAACGGUCCUAAGGUAGCGAAAUUCCUUGUCGGGUAAGUUCCGACCUGCACGAAUGGCGUAAUGAUGGCCAGGCUGUCUCCACCCGAGACUCAGUGAAAUUGAACUCGCUGUGAAGAUGCAGUGUACCCGCGGCAAGACGGAAAGACCCCGUGAACCUUUACUAUAGCUUGACACUGAACAUUGAGCCUUGAUGUGUAGGAUAGGUGGGAGGCUUUGAAGUGUGGACGCCAGUCUGCAUGGAGCCGACCUUGAAAUACCACCCUUUAAUGUUUGAUGUUCUAACGUGGGCCCCUUACCGGGGUUGCGGACAGUGUCUGGUGGGUAGUUUGACUGGGGCGGUCUCCUCCUAAAGAGUAACGGAGGAGCACGAAGGUUGGCUAAUCCUGGUCGGACAUCAGGAGGUUAGUGCAAUGGCAUAAGCCAGCUUGACUGCGAGCGUGACGGCGCGAGCAGGUGCGAAAGCAGGUCAUAGUGAUCCGGUGGUUCUGAAUGGAAGGGCCAUCGCUCAACGGAUAAAAGGUACUCCGGGGAUAACAGGCUGAUACCGCCCAAGAGUUCAUAUCGACGGCGGUGUUUGGCACCUCGAUGUCGGCUCAUCACAUCCUGGGGCUGAAGUAGGUCCCAAGGGUAUGGCUGUUCGCCAUUUAAAGUGGUACGCGAGCUGGGUUUAGAACGUCGUGAGACAGUUCGGUCCCUAUCUGCCGUGGGCGCUGGAGAACUGAGGGGGGCUGCUCCUAGUACGAGAGGACCGGAGUGGACGCAUCACUGGUGUUCGGGUUGUCAUGCCAAUGGCACUGCCCGGUAGCUAAAUGCGGAAGAGAUAAGUGCUGAAAGCAUCUAAGCACGAAACUUGCCCCGAGAUGAGUUCUCCCUGACUCCUUGAGAGUCCUGAAGGAACGUUGAAGACGACGACGUUGAUAGGCCGAGUGU